rnacentral:lncRNA from 1 species
GAGAAAUACAUCUGCUUUAUAGCUGCUCAGGUGAAGUAACCUGGAUGUUUGCAACUGGCAUCAUGGUAAAGACACUAAAGUAACGAGUGCUCUUAAAAGCAGAGAUCCAGUUCCCACACAGUUCCUGGCUGGGAAGAGGCAGCACCUGACCUCCAGGAGAAGGGGCCGGACCAAGCACAGCGGAAGCUCAGUGACAAUCACCCCAC